rnacentral:rRNA from 1 species
CAGCAGCCGCGGUAAUUCCAGCUCCAAUAGCGUAUAUUAAAGUUGUUGCAGUUAAAAAGCUCGUAGUUGAACUUCGGGGUCUACCCAUUGGUCAGGCUUAAUUGUCUGCACUGGUGAGAUGGAUCUCUACCUUCUGAGGAACUUUCAUGCCAUUUAUUUGGUGUGAUGGGAAAUCAGGACUGUUACUUUGAAAAAAUUAGAGUGUUUAAAGCAGACUAUCGUCUGAAUACAUUAGCAUGGAAUAAUGAAAUAGGACGGACUGAUUCUAUUUCGUUGGUUUCUAGGAUCACCGUAAUGAUUAAUAGGGAUAGUUGGGGGCAUUAGUAUUCAAUUGUCAGAGGUGAAAUUCUUGGAUUUAUUGAAGACUAACUACUGCGAAAGCAUUUGCCAAGGAUGUUUUCAUUAAUCAAGAACGAAAGUUAGGGGAUCGAAGACGAUCAGAUACCGUCGUAGUCUUAACCAUAAACUAU